rnacentral:misc_RNA from 1 species
UUUCCGUUGGUGAACCAGCGGAAGGAUCAUUACAGAGAUCAUGCCCUCACGGGUAGACCUUCCACCCUGUUUUAUUUACGUUUGUUGCUUUGGCAGGCCGCCUUCGGGGGCUCGGCUUCGGCUGAGGUGCGCCUGCCAGAGGACCCCCAACUCUGUGUUUAGUGUUGUCUGAGUCUUAUUUAAUACGUUAAAACUUUCAACAACGGAUCUCUUGGUUCUGGCAUCGAUGAAGAACGCAGC